rnacentral:rRNA from 1 species
UACGGAGGGAGCUAGCGUUGUUCGGAAUUACUGGGCGUAAAGCGCACGUAGGCGGCUUUGUAAGUUAGAGGUGAAAGCCCGGGGCUCAACCCCGGAAUUGCCUUUAAGACUGCAUCGCUUGAAUCCGGAAGAGGUGAGUGGAAUUCCGAGUGUAGAGGUGAAAUUCGUAGAUAUUCGGAAGAACACCAGUGGCGAAGGCGGCUCACUGGACCGGUAUUGACGCUGAGGUGCGAAAGCGUGGGGAGCAAACAGG